AAAAAAAAAAAUAUAUAUAUAUAUAUAAAGUGCUUGAGCCUGCUGUGUGUGGAUGUAGACACUAUGUGACUGCCAGAUGCCUGGAAUUCUGCAGGGCAUGGGUUUUCCUGGGCCUUACUUGUGGAGCUUAGGGAACUGGGGAAAACUACAUUUCCCAUAGUUCCCAUGGAGGAGGGAAAGCUACUUUAGGAAUAUUCUGGGAAGAACCCCUGCCAGAGAGGCACCCAAAGCCUCCUGGGGAAUGUAGUUCUGAGAGGCCUGAGGCACUGGACUCCUUGACUUUCCUUCCCCUCCCUUGGCCGCUAGGGUUCACAGUGUCCACCGUCGAGGAGGAGAGGACUCUGAACCCUCGGCUCACCCGCAGCUGUGAGGAAUUUGUCAAAAUCAUGGACAACCUGAACUUGCCUAAACCUGAGCAGAUAGACUUUGCUGUUCCAGCCAACAUGCGCUGUGGGGUGCAGACACCACCCACUGCCUGAUCUCACUUCUGUCAGAUGCUCCCAUCAAGUAUUAAUGCACUAGGCGGGAGGAGAGGGCGGUGUUGACACUCCUUUCCCACCCCAUGCCCGAACCCCAGCCUCUGGAGCUUCCUAAAUAAAACUUCUUUUUAACAUGA